UCCGCCUCCGAGAUCCGGCCGGCCUCUAGUGCUCCCUCGACGGCUCCACUGCUCCACCGGCACCAAGAUGAAGAAGAAAGAUGUUAGCUUGUUUGAAUUGUGGGACAAAUCUUCAAAGGCAAGGAAAAUAAGUUCUAUGCUUCUGAUUUUACAAGGGAUGAACUGGCAAGACUUCCAUGGCAACUAAACAUGUAUGUUACUAAUGUGCGUAGAGAUGAAAGGUUUCAAAACCUGAAAAAUCUGUGUCAGCUUUCAGUUAUGCUUGUUGAGACAAACAAGCAUGAACAAUAUCAUACUUCCUCCGUUCCUUGAUAUAAGGUGUAUAGAUUUUUGAGAAAAAGUCCAAAAUAUAAGGUGUAUUGCGUUGCACCACUCGUUUGGACAAUUUUUUUAGAGAUUUGAUUACAUUUCCUUAUAUUAUGCAAGCUCCUCUAUUUUCUCAUGUCAAUUAGUCAGGUGAAAUCACACCCAAAAUUUGUGAAAAUUUCCCUCCACGUGCGUUAUUUAAUUUCCGUGCCAAAAACUAUACACCCUAUAUUUAGGAACGGAGGGAGUAUUGUUUACAAGCUUCUUAAGUUGGUACUGAUUCUGCCGGUAGCUACUGCUAGUGUUGAAAGGGUAUUCUCUUCAAUGAGCUAUGUGAAGAAUAAGGUAAGGAACAAAAUGGGUGAUGAUUAUUUGAACAAUUGUUUGGUUACAUUCGUUGAGAGAGAAUUUUUCAAUCAAGUGAAGGAUGAAGAUGUCAUCAAUCUGUUCCAAAAAGGCGACCGCAGAGUUAUAUUGUAAGAAGGAUAUCAUCACUUUAUCAAUCAACAGGUACUUAUGUA